AUUGAACGCUGGCGGCAGGCCUAACACAUGCAAGUCGAACGAGUGGCGGACGGGUGAGUAAUGUCUGGGAAACUGCCUGCUGGAGGGGGAUAACUACUGGAAACGGUAGCUAAUACCGCAUACCAUCGGAUGUGCCCAGAUGGGAUUAGCUAGUAUGUGGGGUAAAGGCUAACCUAGGCGACGAUCCAUAGCUGGUCUGAGAGGAUGACCAGCCACACUGUAACGGAGACACUGUCCAGACGCCUACGGGAGGCAGCAGUGGUGAAUAUUGCACAAUGGGCGCAAGCCUGAGGCAGCCAUGCCGCGUGUAUGAAGAAGGCCUUCGGGUUGUAAAGUACUUUCAGCGGGGAGGCGUUACCCGCAGAAGAAGCACCGGCUAACUCCGUGCCAGCAGCCGCGGUAAUAC
rnacentral:rRNA from 1 species